AAUAACUUAAUUCCUGAGUUUUCGUGUCCAACAUUUGACCGUCCGUCUUAUUUGAAAAAAAUAUGAAAAAAUUUAAAAAGAUAAAUCACGUAUAAAGUAUUAUUUAUGUUUUAUCAUUUAACAACAAUGAAAAUACUAAUCAUAAAAAAGUUUCAUAUAAGACGGAUAGUCAAACGUAGGACACGAAAACCUAGG
rnacentral:pre_miRNA from 1 species